ACUUUACCAUGCGGGCAACCGUGAUAAGGAAACCCCGAGUGCCAGCACAGGCUGGCUGUCCGCCAGUUUAAACAACUGGCGAAGAAAGGGCCGGGCAAGACCGGUGCCAGCCGCCGCGGUAAUACCGGCGGCUCGAGUGGUGGCCGCUAUUACUGGGCUUAAAGGGUCCGUAGCUUGAUAAUAGGGUCCCUUGAGAAAUCCGCCGGCUUAACUGGCGGGCGUUCAGGGGAAACUUGUUUUCCAGGGACCGGGAGAGGUGAGGGGUACUGCCGGGGUAGGAGUGAAAUCCUGUAAUCCCGGUGGGACCACCUAUGGCGAAGGCAUCUCACCAGAACGGGUCCGACAGUGAGGGACGAAAGCUGGGGGAGCAAACCGG
rnacentral:rRNA from 1 species